rnacentral:rRNA from 1 species
UACGAAGGGGGCUAGCGUUGCUCGGAAUCACUGGGCGUAAAGCGCACGUAGGCGGAUUGUUAAGUCAGGGGUGAAAUCCUGGAGCUCAACUCCAGAACUGCCUUUGAUACUGGCGAUCUCGAGUCCGGGAGAGGUGAGUGGAACUCCGAGUGUAGAGGUGAAAUUCGUAGAUAUUCGCAAGAACACCAGUGGCGAAGGCGGCUCACUGGGACGGUACUGACGCUGAGGUGCGAAAGCGUGGGGAGCAAACAGG